AGGCAUGCAAGUCGAACGGUAUAAACCUUUCGGGGCUUAGAGAGUGGCGAACGGGUGAGUAACACGUAGGUAAUCUACCCUCAAAACGGGGACAACCAGGGAAACUUGGGCUAAUACCGGAUGCGUGCAAGCAAUGUUUUGGCUGUUAAUGCUAUUCACGGAAGUGAGUAGUGUUAAUGGUUGAGAGCAUUAUUUGCAUAAAAGGUGGCAUAUGCUGCCGUUUGAGGAUGAGCCUGCGUCCUAUUAGUUAGUUGGUGAGGUAAUGGCUUACCAAGGCGAUGAUAGGUAGGCGGCCUUAACGGGUGGUCGCCCACACUGGGAUUGAGAGACGGCCCAGACUCCUACGGGAGGCAGCAGUCGAGAAUAGUCUACAAUGGACGGAAGUCUGAUAGUGCGACGCCGCGUGAACGAAGAAUCCCUUCGGGGUGUAAAGUUCUUUUAUACGUGAGCAGUGCCCUUUAUAUGAAUAGUAUAGAGGGAGGGAUUUAAGCGUAUGAAUAAGCAACGGCUAACUCCGUGCCAGCAGCCGCGGUAACACGGGGGUUGCAAGCGUUGUCCGGAAUUACUAGGCGUAAAGUGCAGGUAGGCGGAUAGAUAAGUUUAAGGUUAAAGGCUACGGCUUACCCGUAGUAAGGCGUUAGAUACUGUUUAUCUGGAAUGCGGUUGAGGGAGACAGAAUUCCUGGUGUAGCGGUGGAAUGCGCAGAGAUCAGGAGGAAUACCGAAGGCGAAGGCAGUCUUCUAAGCCGAUAUUGACGCUAAACUGCGAAGGUGUGGGGAUCAAACAGGAUUAGAUACCCUGGUAGUCCACACAGUAAACGAUAAUCACUAGGUGUUGGGUUCGUAUAGGACUCGGUGCCGGAGCUAACGCGAUAAGUGAUUCGCCUGGGGAGUACGAUCGCAAGGUUGAAACUCAA
rnacentral:rRNA from 1 species